UUUUUUUCUCUUUCGGUACUAUUUUAACAUAAUCUCUCUAUAAUAUUUAAAUAGAAAAAUAUAGUAAACUCUGAAAUCACAUGGAUAAUAUAAACGUAUGUGUACAGUUAAUAUUUUUAUCAAGUUAUAUAAUUUUAUUAUAUAUUGACUUAGUAUUCUAAAUUUGUAUUAGGUGGGUUCACAUUGUUCACAAUAAUAUAAUUACGCAAUAUCCAUUUCUCCACGACCGAGCAAUCAUCUGCAUGAGUGUUGGCAACACUGUCAAAUUUAAAGUUGUCUAAUAUACGAUAAGGCAAUUUUAGCAAAAAACGGUUAUUUUGAAGGCAUUUUACGAUUAUCUCAUUUUCAAAUGUUGGCCAUACUGGAACUUACCGUGGUCAUAAUAUUAGUGCGAUACUGUGAAACAGCACAGGUGAAAUUUCAUCCAUUUUGUGUUUCAACCACGAAAAAGGACUUCGUUUCAAAAAAAUUUAUGUGAUAUGUGACAAAUUUAGCAUCAAGUCGUCUUUUUAAUCGGGAGAUUUUCUUCGAUUACCACCAUGAGUUCUCUACAUACCACAUGUGGUACGCGUACCACAGCAUAAGAAACGCUGCUCUAGCCUAUACGCGCAUUGGACCGUUUGAAAAUUAUGCACAGACAAUUCCGAUUUCACGCUGUGACCCCCGGGUUGCACAUAUGUUUUGUUGUUCGUCGUCAAGGGAGCCUAAUAAAUGAGCUGAAAUCAAAGAGCUUUCGAAAUUGCGACUCAACUGCUGCAGCUCUUUGUUCUUCACCCAGCCUUCCACCAGCACUAACUUCAAAAUUCUUUUGAUUUUUGCUGCCUCCGGAGGAUGAAAAAUAACGUACUAGAUCGGAAAACUCGUCCUAAGGUUGGAGGUUGGUGCACACACUUGGUGCUGCACACAGUACUCGCACUCGAAUCAGGAGAUUCACAGGACUUAGACGCAUCCUGGGGAAAGAACGAUACAUGUACGCUGUCCAAGGAGCGGCAGGCGGCUUAUAUCUCUAUUUUUGAUGGCAGAUCUCAUUUAUCUGCCAUAUUAUAAUUUUUUCUCCAUCGACACGGAUGAAGGUCACACACGUU